CCUACGGGGGGCAGCAGUGGGGAAUAUUGCACAAUGGGCGCAAGCCUGAUGCAGCCAUGCCGCGUGUGUGAAGAAGGCCUUCGGGUUGUAAAGCACUUUCAGCGGGGAGGAAGGCGGUGAGGUUAAUAACCUCAUCGAUUGACGUUACCCGCAGAAGAGGCACCGGCUAACUCCGUGCCAGCAGCCGCGGUAAUACGGAGGGUGCAAGCGUUAAUCGGAAUUACUGGGCGUAAAGCGCACGCAGGCGGUCUGUCAAGUUGGGUGUGAAAUCCCCGGGCUCAACCUGGGAACUGCAUUCGAAACUGGCAGGCUAGAGUCUUGUAGAGGGGGGUAGAAUUCCAGGUGUAGCGGUGAAAUGCGUAGAGAUCUGGAGGAAUACCGGUGGCGAAGGCGGCCCCCUGGACAAAGACUGACGCUCAGGUGCGAAAGCGUGGGGAGCAAACAGGAUUAGAUACCCGAGUAGUC
rnacentral:rRNA from 1 species